UUCGGUCUUGUCGUGGUUGGUGGGAGAGGCAUCCUCCUCCUCCUCCUUCUUCUUCUAAAUAGCAACCUUCCUUUGAGUUUCGGACUGAAGAGGCCAGCCGUGAGGAGGAUCUCGGAGUCGCAGCGCUUUGGGUUCGGCAUCAGCGAGGGAGGUUGGAGAUUCACCGUUUCUUUCUUCAUCAAGCUUUAGAUUUUGUAGCGAGCCCUAGUUCGCGGGACUUGGUGAACCCGACUCUGUAGCUCGGAGCUAGGAGAAGAUCAAGUAUAGGAUCAGGGGUGUCUGGGAGUCGUAUUGUCGGUUUUUAUCAGUAUCUCUGUAUUACCCUUUUGUGAGUGUAAGUAGUGGUGUCAAACGAGCAAUGCCGGCCCGGGCCCGGCACAAGUUGGGCCGUGUUUGGCCCAAGUACGGUGCUACAGUAACGUGCUCGGGACAGGCACGACCCAUACCUCGGGCCGUGCUGGGCUAGGGGUUUGCGGCCCGCGGGCCGGCACGACCCGUGGUCCGAUUUGGGCCAACAUAGCCCGACACGUCAAAUGUAAGUUUUUU